UUUAGGCUGUGGUGUAUACUUGCCAGGUAUAUGCAUGCGUCUACACGUAAUGUUGUAAACAACAGUGCCUAUACAGGUGCGUGUGUACAUGAGCGCCUAUUACAAGACCGCUAUAGGCAUCAAGUAAUAUGCAAUGCCCUUUACAUGACAGCCUAUACCUGACCUUGUUUAGGCUGUGGUGUAUACUUGCCAGGUAUAUGCAUGCGUCUACACGUAAUGUUGUAAACAACAGUGCCUAUACAGGUGCGUGUGUACAUGAGCGCCUAUUACAAGACCGCUAUAGGCAUCACGUAAUAUGCAUUGCCCUUUACAUGACAGCCUAUACCUGACCUUGUUUAGGCUGUGGUGUAUACUUGCCAGGUAUAUGCAUGCAUCUACACGUAAUGUUGUAACCAACCGUGCCUAUACAAGUGUGUGUGUACACGAGUGCCUAUUACAAGACUGCUAUAGGCAUCACAUAAUAGGCCUUCAUGUUUACAUGACAGCCUAUACCUGAUCUUGUUUAGGCUGUAGUGUAUACUUGCCUGG
rnacentral:lncRNA from 1 species